AACGAACGCUGGCGGCAGGCCUAACACAUGCAAGUCGAGCGAGGACUUCGGUCCUAGCGGCGGACGGGUGAGUAACGCGUGGGAACGUGCCCUUUGCUUCGGAAUAGCCCUGGGAAACUGGGAGUAAUACCGGAUGAGCCCUUUGGGGGAAAGAUUUAUCGGCGAAGGAUCGGCCCGCGUUGGAUUAGGUAGUUGGUGGGGUAAUGGCCUUCCAAGCCGACGAUCCAUAGCUGGUUUGAGAGGAUGAUCAGCCACACUGGGACUGAGACACGGCCCAGACUCCUACGGGAGGCAGCAGUGGGGAAUCUUAGACAAUGGGGGAAACCCUGAUCGAGCCAUGCCGCGUGAGCGAUGAAGGCCUUAGGGUUGUAAAGCUCUUUCAGCUGGGAAGAUAAUGACGGUACCAGCAGAAGAAGCCCCGGCUAACUCCGUG
rnacentral:rRNA from 1 species